GGGAUUAUAGCUCAGUGGUAGAGUGCUUGCCUUACACACAUGAGGUCCUGGGUUUGAUCCUCAGCACCA
rnacentral:tRNA from 1 species